UACGAAGGGGGCUAGCGUUGCUCGGAAUCACUGGGCGUAAAGGGUGCGUAGGCGGGUUUUUAAGUCAGGGGUGAAAUCCUGGAGCUCAACUCCAGAACUGCCUUUGAUACUGAGAAUCUUGAGUACGGGAGAGGUGAGUGGAACUGCGAGUGUAGAGGUGAAAUUCGUAGAUAUUCGCAAGAACACCAGUGGCGAAGGCGGCUCACUGGCCCGUAACUGACGCUGAGGCACGAAAGCGUGGGGAGCAAACAGG
rnacentral:rRNA from 1 species